AAGGGGUGGGAGCGUUGCCGUGAGUUCGAGGCCAGCCAAAACUACACAAUGAGCCGUGUCUCAAAAACAAAGGCGCCCGGGGCGGCAGGCGAAUUUUAACAGUGGGUUGUGCAAGAUGUCAGUUUCUCUGCUGGCUGAUGAACCCUGAUCAUGCAGCGUAAGAUGAGAAGAAGGCAGAUCGCAGAUGCAGUGAAAGGAGCAAAAAGUAAAGAGAGACAGAGGAUUCAGAAAACAGAAAAUCGUUUUGAGUUUGGGACGUCUGAAACCAGAACCCCAGAACCGCAAACACCAGACAUAAAUAUGCUCUCCUCCAGGAUGGCCUGGAUUAGCUGCGCUCCCCUACAUAUCAUCAGCAUGCAGAACAAAGUAUUACCACCCCAGGGACCAGCAGAGAUCUCUGCAGGAAAACCAAGAGGAGCAGCCGCCGUUGGUCCCUGGGAGCCUUCAGGAGAGCGAAUGGCUACUGCUGAACAGAGGCCUCAUGAGAAAGAGGCUCACGUCUUAGUCACCCUAGACACUGUUUCCCAAACUAACCCCUUGGGACACUAGUUGCCUGGGAGACCCUAUCAAAAAUUUUCAUGUCAGGAUUUUCUUGAUUACUUGAAUUUCAAAAAAGCAGCAUGCUCUGUU